ACCAAAUAGGUGUAAUACUCUAUGUCAUGUGCUCAGGGUUAGCAUUCUCAGUGUAUAGCGUAUCGAAUGUGUCUUGCAUUUUUUUUUGGGAGGGGGGGGGUCCCUUCCCGUCUUAUUUAGCUGGAGCCAGGGUUAUAGAUCUGCUCCGGAUCUAAUCGUAGUCGGUUACAAGGAAUCAAACUGAAUCCUAGUACAAGUUAUCUCUUUACAUAUUUAAACCGAUCAUAUCUCUAUCCCUAUCUCUUCGUGCCGAUGCUUCGUCUUGCUCUACACAUCUUUGCCUACCAUUUGGGUGGGCCGUGCUACCCCCUUGGUGGGUGGUCAGGCCCAUCCAAAUGGUACUUGGGGAUCAUAUCCCCCACAACGCUUCAUCAGAUCAAGGGUUUCACGAUAGACUAAGUCCUUAGAGGCGAAGAAGGUGCAGAGGACAUCAUGGGGUGGAGAGGCAGCACAUAUUGCGAGGUUAGGCGGGGCGGAUUGGGAAUCAAGGUCCUGUAAGAAAAUAUACAUAAGAAGGGUCGCAACCUCAUUGUGGAGAGCAUGGGCGGGUGCAAAUCCUUGUACACCUAGAUGGCUAUGAGGACAACAAGUAGAGUGAGGGAGACCUAUGCUAUAAUCUUGAAAGGAUCAGAAAUGCCACCUCUAGGGUGGGCGGGGCAGUGUGAAUAGGUAAAUCAUGCAAUUUACAAAAACUAAGUUGACUGUCACCAAACCGGCUAGGUCGGGCUAGGUCGAUUUUGGGUAGGUAAACUCAAUGAGAUAUGUAUGAGUGCGACAUAUCUAUGAGUUCUAGCACAAACCAAACUUGUAGAUAUGCUUCUGUAGAUGAUUUUCA
rnacentral:lncRNA from 1 species